AGGAAAUGAUGAGGCAUUUUUUUUCCUGAAUGUUGAAACUAGUUUCUUUGUCCAUACACACCGGCACCGACAGAAAGAAUGCUUUGAAGAAAUUCCUCAAAGGUAAAAGGACUUGGACAAAUGUAUGAAAGUAUUACAAACAAGCCAGUGGCCAGAGCGCACAGAUACCACCAACAUGUCACCUUGUAUCAAGGAUCCAUACACAGCUUUAUCAAAGAGGAUUACAGUGGAUGGACGAAAAGGAGGAAAAGAAGGAAGGACGAGGGAAGGAAGAAGAGGAACAGCAGGAGCAAGAAGAUUAUUGAAAGCACAGGAGUUCACUUAGAAGUAAUAUGGAAUUAAGCAAUGGAUAUGAAAGAAGAGAGAUAAACAAUCACACCCAGAGUGACUUCCCACUCUUCAUUGUCUCAUGCAAAGGAAAGACAUUCUUUGGGUGAGAUCCUUCCAAAGCAAACAUCCUGAGCACCUAUGCAUCCCACUUGUGGAUCACAGUAGCCAGCAGGCUGACUCACUUAUAUUCAUGCAACUCCCUGGUGCCAGUGAAUUACACUGAGAAUAUUCUAGGCAGCCACAUUGCUGGUGAUGAAAAGGUGGGGAAGUAGAGGGUUACCGAAAUGGUAACUUUCUAGAAAGCUCGUUCUAAGAAUGUUUCUUGAUAUACUGAGAACUAGUAUGUCAGUAUUCUAGCAGGAUCUUUUCUACCAGUAGCUUAUGUGCUUAUAGAGCAAGGGAAUUAAAAUGCAGUGGUUUUAGUUGAAAGUGUUAAUGUCAGGCAGUCUGCAAAAACUCAGUACUUUUCAAGCUUAUUUGCCCUGUACUAUAAUCUAAACUACCUGCCCUGCCAUCUGUUUUUGUUCUGUAAAUAACUGUUCCCAAUCCAACUGCCUACUGAAUAGCAAGCCAGUGAUUCAGUUAAUAAUUAUAAACCUUAACAAUUCAACAAGUAACCGCAUACAAAGAAACUAGAUAUCACAUGUCUGAAUAUUUGAUAGUCAUGCAAGACAGAAAAUGGGGCUUCUGGAACACCAGUCAUGUUGGGAACUGUUGGGGAAGGGGCAGGGCGGGGUAGAUUGUUAGGUUUUGAAUGAAACUUUGCCUUAACGGUUCCAGUUCAAUCUUUCCCACACAAGCUCCUGCCCACAUCUCACAGAAGUAUUAUAUCUGUUCACUUCCUUGUACUUUGCUCCAAGAAUUAGUGAGUCAUGGUUUAAGCACAAAUUCUUAACAUAGGUGCUACAGGCAAACAAAGGAAACCCAAACGCCUCAUUCUUCUAUUUCUUCUUUAAAAGGAAACUCAUGCUGGUGGCAUUUGUGUAACAUUCCUUUUACAUAACAGCAAGAACUUCAUCUGAGGAAAGAAACAGUGGUGCAGCUGUAGGAAGCGGUAGGUGGGGGGUUGCUCUUCGCUCAUCUUUGACCCUUCCUGGCCUUCGCUGUUCAUAAUGCGAUACAACAAUUCCUGGGCCAACCCAGAAUGUGAAGGUGGGACAUAGAAAGGGGGCAUACAAGAGAGGCAGCCUACUUGUCCAGUGUUAGGAAAUGAUGAGAUAGGCUCUUUAAAUGUGUAGGCAACUCAGAUGAGCUGGGGUUAUAUCCUUUUCUGAUCUGAUGUUUAUUGGCUGUGUGACUCUGGCAAUAUAGGGAAGUAUUGCUGGGAGUUAUCACACCGUUUGGCAAAAUCAGGACUAUAACAAAAGGUAAUAGAUAACUUAUCUUUAACUGUGUCUGAUACACACAGAUUCACCAAACCCUAUAGAGUCCAGUUCAGUCUUCUCCUGCAAGACUAGAAACUGAUUUUCUUUGUUUUGGUUUUUGGUUUUGUUGUUGCUGUUUGUUGCUUUGUUUUGUUUUCGUUUUGCCCUGGUAUUUGAGACUGGAGAAGAACUCACAGGACUGUUCUAGAACCAGGAGAGAUGAGCUUGUCUCACCCAGAGCUCACACCUGAGACUUCAGAGCAAACCACACAUUAACUACUGUGUGGCCGGAGAAGGGAAGUAUGCACAUCCCCCUCCUAAUAGUCUUUUGAGUCUCAGAAUGUGGAGAGGUUUUCGGUACUAUCUGAGACAGCUUAUGUUAAUCCAUUAACCUAUCAGUAUCCUGGAUGGAUUUGGUGGUUGCUGUUUGGAUCCAUUUCACACUGGCUGUGUACUGGAUAGAAUGUGAGACAUAGACAAAUGGUGCUUAUAUGAAAGGUGUUCCACUCUGCUCCUGUUGAAUAGCAUUGUCUAAUUCCAGCAAGAGUGCCACAGUUAAUUUAUUUAACAGUCUUUUUGAAGAGAUAUGUUGGACCUUCAUGUUAUUUCUCUUAUGCCACUUUCUGAUUCUGGAUAUUUACCUUUUGUGUGUAUCUGUCCUCUGUGUUCCCGCCUGCUUUGCUUCUGAGUUUGCUCCCCCACAUCUAAACUGGAACCACUCACUUUGUUGCUGUGAGACAGUUUCUCCUAGUAACAUCAGAAGCUACAUUCAAAAGGUCUAACCAACCUGACUGUCGGAUGUGAAAUGAACAAGGACGAAAAAGGAUGAUAGCAAUGAACUUCUGAAGUGGAUGGAGUCCAUGAGGUCUCUACCCUAAACAAGGAACGAUUGAUACGUGAGGAACGCUAGGAGUGAAAGAGAUGCUCUUCCCCAGGGAAGAGCACACUGAUUGGUUAUCUGACACCAACUGAUCAACCCUAGAAACAUAUAUAAAAGGAAUAGUGUACAUUUUGAACAGGGUAUAUUUAGGAAUAUUUAUGUAUAUAUGUGAGUGUAUAUGUAUGUUUAUGUCUGUAUAUGUAUAUGUCUGUACAUAAUAAAAGUAUGUGUAUAUAUGCAUGCAACAAUUAAUGAAAAAAAGUCAUGAAUUUAAAGACUUGGGAGAUGUGGAAGGAAGAAAAAGGAGAAAUGUUAAAUUGUAUUAUAAUAUUAAAAAUCCAAACAAUAUUUAUUCAUAGAAAAAGCAAUAGAAAAUUCACACAAUAUGUUUCUCUCUAGUUAUACAUUUGGACCCAAUAGAUUGUGAUAACAAUUGUCUUUCCACUAAUUCCAAGAUUUAAUUUCUAUUUUUAACUUAUUAUUGCUCCAUUUUUCCAAUACUUAACUUUAAAAAACCCUGCUACCUUAAUUUAUCAGAUGCCUAGUUGUCUGGGUUUACAGAAAAUAAUAACAUUAAAAAUUUUCACCUAGGAGAAUUCUUCAUGGGGCUGUUUUUGCUGUGCUUUGUGACCAAAUACUAGGAUUUACAGCUGUCUGUUGGAUGAAAGGGAAUAAUAUCAUCUAUCCAAAUGCUUCUCACAUAUUUUAAAAAUGUAUUAUUUUGUCUAUUGUGUAGAUGUAUGUUUAUGUGUGCAUGUUAAUAUGCACGUAUGGGUACAUACAAACUCAUGUUUGUGGACAUGUGGCUGCACAUGCUACAGGAUACUUUUGGAGACUAGAGGACAACCUCAAAUGUUAUCCCUUCCCUUCCUUUUGGUUUGAGACAGUUUGCCUGUAUUUCACCCCUAGGCCUGCCAGACUAGAAGCCUGCAACCCUAUGGCAAUUCUGCUGUCCCCAUCUCUUAUUUCAUUGUGGGAUCAAUAGUUUUAUACAAAGCAUGUUUCCAUUCUCAGCUCCACAUGGAUUCGGAGGAUUUGAAUUCAGUUUCUGAGACCUGCCUGCCUUAACCACUGAACUGUCUCCACAGUCUCAGGGACGCUUCUUUAAAUCACUCACAUUAACAACAUCCCUUAAAAUUCUUUUGCCAGAUUCUUCUGUGACAUUCUGAUUUGGGUAUCUAUAUAGAUUUCCCUUACAUGGAAAGGAUGGAUAGUCUUCUUUUGGGAGCAAAAAACCUUCUGACAUGUCUUAAUAAAUUGUUUACCUUUCUGCUACAUAACAGCCUCUGACUAGAUGCUUUAGAUUUUUAAUUCUUCCUUUCUUAGUUGAUUUAGGCCCUAAGCUUUGCUGUGCAGUCAUAAAGUAGCAGUCAUUUCACAUACCCUGCAGAGUUAUAAAACUGUAUAAUGUGAUAUACACUGCAAAGCUCCAGCAUACCAGCUCCUACACAGUAGACAAUACCCCAUUCUAGUGCUCUUCCUUCCUGCCCUCUAAGCUAUCUAUGUCCUUGCCCCAAGAAUACAAUGUUGGGUGUGGAAAAA